AAUUGCAACAGCCAUUGCCCCCUCAAAUGAUUGUUCAAGGUGAAGAUGAAUUCAAAGUCGAAGAAAUAUUGGACUGGAGGAAAUGGGAAUGAAACAAAACAUGAGGAAAAUGUUGGGAAAAUAUCUACAAUGAAUGCUACCUACUAAUGUGUGGGGCUCUAUAAAAGAAAUCACUUGAAACUUUAUUUAUUUAUACACUGCCUUUAUUAUUUCAAUCUAAUACACUUCCUAUUUUCUCAAAAAUGUUCAUUAUUCCUCCUCCUCCACCCUCCCCUUCUCCUCCCUCCUCCUGCCCCAUAUUUAUUAUGAUAGAGUAAUGGGAAGCAAAUAUUGAAUUUAUUUGAAUUCUGGACUAACAAUAUCUUUGAGGGUGCUUAUUUGAAUAGUAGUGGAAAUGGAAAGUACCAGUCCUGUCACAAGCAAUGUGGCUUUCACUUUUUGUGACCAAUCUUUAAUUUCUUAAUAUAUUUAUAUUGUCUUCAUUUCCCACUAGAUGGUGCAAUAAUCACAUGGACUGCAAAACUACACAAGAACUUUAUUUGGAAGAUUCUUUUUGUGGAUAUUUCGUAUUAAAAUAGAGGAAAUUUCCAUGGAAUUAUUGAGGCAUUAAGAAAGAUGUGUUGCUCAGUAUCUACAUUUCCAUCUUAGAUUUUAAAUUGCUAGUUUUUUGUCUCAUUUUCUGUGCUUUAAACAAGUCAGUAGAAAUAGAUUAAAUAUGCUUUUGCUUGUUAAAUGAGAAAAUUAUUAAAUAUUGGGAAAUGGGGCUUUGUUUCGUUUUCUUAUGUUUUGUUAAUAAUGUGAAUGUGUAUCUGAAAACAAUUCUCCUUCUUUCAUUCAUCGUGCAAAGAUCUAUGAGUUAGUCCUGUCCAAUAUGGGUUGAAUCAUCAAUGAAAUAUUUUUGUGUAGCUGUUUAGUUUCUUCAAAUUCCUGAAAUCAUAGACGCUUUCUAUAAUUAAUACUCUAACAUUUAUAUCAAUUGAUUGCUGUAUAUUGAUCAUAACUGGUAUCUGAAAUCAGUGUAAUAUUUUUUUUAAAAAUGUAUGAAAAAUUAGUGGAAAAAUAUACAGGAGGCUGUAACAUGGCAUGAUUGAAAGCAAAAUCUGCAAAUAACCAUUGUAGAAAAAUGUGGUUGUAUAGAGAUAAAACACAGAAGUGAUAUGAAGGCUUCAAGUAGCCUGGAUAGAGAUUUUAAAAACCACUGCGAUCUCCAGCAGAAUGACAGAUAACUAUUUUGUUGCUUUGUUUUAGCUUAACACAAAGACUAAAUGAUAAAAUACUUGUAAUAUAACUUGUAAUGAAUUCCAAAGAGACUGAUGCCAGCAAAGGUUGUUGAGGUCACAGAUAUCCAGAUGUUUGAAGAUCUUUGCUUCUAUAUGACUAAUUCUAUGUGAUAAUCAAUGAGGGAUAUUAUUAACUUUUUUAAUGAAAUUGGAUUGUACCAAAUAUAAGUUUUGAUUUCAUGCUUAGGUUGUUCAAUGAUAUUUUAUCAUUCCUGCCUAUUUGAGGACAAUCUUAAAUAAAACUGUCUCCCUCCACAUUUUUUUUAGCAGUGUACCUUUCUAUCCCCAAAUAUUGGUGUUCUUUCUAGAGAUAAAGGAUUUAUAUAUCCCUUUUCAUUCAGUGAAGUGAGAAUGUGAACAGUAUGAAAGUAAAACAUGUUACUAUUACAGUAUAGUGUUGCAGCUUUGAAAAAUAAAUGCAAAAGAGUACUUUGCUCUGAAUACUACAGUGGAACUUUGGGUCACGAACGCUUCUGUUUGCAACCAAAUCGGAUGGUGAACAAAAAAUUCACCGGGUUUUUUAAUUGGGCCAUGAUUCAAAAACCGAAUGAUGAACAAAAUUGGCAUAGAAAGAUUCCCUUUCCGCACCAAUUUUCCCAUCAGCACCAUUUGGUGGGGCUGACCAUGCAUAUGCAGAUGGUUGUGCUUUCGGUCACGACCAAAUCAGGUUGCGGCUGAAAUCCUGGAACAGAUUACGGUCAUGACCCAAGGCUCCACUGUAUAUGUGUUUGGUGUUCUGUAAAGAAGGGUAUCAAAAGUUCAUCUGAUCUUUAGAAGCAUCAGUGCAAAGAAAUCUGUGGGUGCUAAUCUGACUCCAAACCAUAUUUGGUCACUUUAAUUGUAAUAUAGGCAAAGCGAGGGCUGAUUUUCCAUUGCAAGCAUUCUGUUUGCAUUUUCCACUAUUUUAAAUAGUUCAGUCUUCUAUUAGGAAAAAUAAAUGGAUACUUCAGCUUUUACUUCUCUCUAGUUUUAGUUAUUUUAAUAAGUUCUGAAGUGUUAAAAUAAAUGCUCAUUAGAAAAUCUAACUUGCUGGAAUAUUUAUUGCAAUUUGUGUUUUGAAUAGUGUUCAAUAAUACUCCAACAUUGAAUUUUUCUUUAUUGAAUGGUUUAUAUGAAAACAUAUUGAACAAAAUGUUCAAUAUGCCUUCAUGAUGACAAGAGGGGACAUCAUUAUCAUUUUAUUGCAUCCAAAGUGCGGUAAUGAUCAACAUUCUCUUAUUUUGCAUUUUUCUUUUGAUUUUUUUUUAGUGUUCAUACAUUGUUACUGAAGAAAUUAAAAAUUUCAAUUUUAUUUCAAUUUUGCAAAAAAACAACAACAAAAAAGCAAAUAUGUAUGUUUUUUUUUUUUUUUGAGAACACAAGAUCUCUCAGCAAUUUCCAGGAGUGUUAGUCUUUAUUUAGAAGGAAUCAAUCAUUCUCCUGAUAUUUGGUUUACAAGCAUUUGGUUAUUUAAAGUUAUAUUCCCAAAUCAGAAUUAUAUUGUCUCUGGGAUAUUUGCAAUAAAUGAUAUCAUAUAUAUGGUGGUAUUAUUUUUCUUUAAAUAAUGAUGGUAUAUGUUCAUGUUUAUACUGAUUGGCGGUUGUGGAACCUUUUAAAAAGUGCAGCUAAUUUUGGCAGGGGAGGACUGCCUUUUAAUUAAACAUCUAUUUCUAUAAACAUCCAAGGUAGGCUGUGCAAAUGACUUAGGGCAAUUGAGAAAUGAUGAAAAUCUGAUGAAAAGGAUGGACAUGCUUUUCAGUAUAUUGACUUGGUGUAGCGCUUUCCAAUAUAGGAAAAUGUACAUUAUUCCUAAAAUCCCUUUCAUUCUAGAUGUAAAUUUGAUCAAAAGAGUCAUGCAAAUUGAAAUAAAUGAUGAAUAGAUUGGGAAUAAUUAAAAUUAAAUUACUGUAAUAUUGGUGGUGGAUAAUUUUCUAAUUUAAUAGUAGAUGUUUAUGAAUUUAUUCUGUUGAAAUAGGAAGUGUUUGGGUCAUAUCUGAAAGUUUACAUAGCCCAAAAGUUCUAACAUGUCAGCUUUAAAACAGAAUCUUUACUAGCACUUGUAUCACUUAGGUUUUCUGAUUCAUUCAUUUGAAGCAGUA